rnacentral:lncRNA from 1 species
CAACUGUAACGAUGGAUGACGAUAUAAAAACUCCAACAACCCCAAAUAACAUUAUGGGGAAGAAGUUAUGGAAGAACUGUUUCUUCUUGUAGCAGCGGAAAUCUUGUCAUCCUCUGUGCCACUGACAGCAAUCUCAUACAUUUGCUCUAACUCUGUUAAGCAUAUAUCGAUCCACAAGCUCAAACUCAGUUUUCUUACCAACAGAAUACAUGGAAGGAAAAGAUAUAUAGUUGAAUCACUAAAAUACAAUCUCAUCUAUGCAUCUUACUAUUAUUGGCUACCAACUGAACUGAAAC